ACGCUCGACACCUACGAGAGGCAGCAGUGAGGAAUAUUGGUCAAUGGGCGCUAGCCUGAACCAGCCAAGUAGCGUGAAGGAUGAAGGCUCUAUGGGUCGUAAACUUCUUUUAUAUAAGAAUAAAGUGCAGUAUGUAUACUGUUUUGUAUGUAUUAUAUGAAUAAGGAUCGGCUAACUCCGUGCCAGCAGCCACGGUAAUCUGAGCGGGCUGGCAAGGC
rnacentral:rRNA from 1 species